AAUCCAUAGGUUAAUGAGGCGAACCGGGGGAACUGAAACAUCUAAGUACCCCGAGGAAAAGAAAUCAACCGAGAUUCCCCCAGUAGCGGCGAGCGAACGGGGAGGAGCCCAGAGCCUGAAUCAGCAUGUGUGUUAGUGGAAGCGUCUGGAAAGGCGCGCGAUACAGGGUGACAGCCCCGUACACAAAAGCGCAUGUGCUGUGAGCUCGAUGAGUAGGGCGGGACACGUGGUAUCCUGUCUGAAUAUGGGGGGACCAUCCUCCAAGGCUAAAUACUCCUGACUGACCGAUAGUGAACCAGUACCGUGAGGGAAAGGCGAAAAGAACCCCGGCGAGG
rnacentral:rRNA from 5 species